GUAGGCAGUAGCCCAGUGGUAGAGUUCAUCCCUUCCACAGAGGAGAUCCCACGUUCAAUUCCUAGCAUCUCCA